AAAAACUCCGGUGGUGUGAGAUGGAUCCGCGUCUGAUUAGCCAGUUGGCGGGGUAACGGCCCACCAAAGCGACGAUCAGUAGCCGGCCUGAGAGGGUGACCGGCCACAUUGGGACUGAGACACGGCCCAAACUCCUACGGGAGGCAGCAGUGGGGAAUAUUGCACAAUGGGCGAAAGCCUGAUGCAGCGACGCCGCGUGAGUGAAGAAGUAUUUCGGUAUGUAAAGCUCUAUCAGCAGGGAAGAAAAUGACGGUACCUGACUAAGAAGCCCCGGCUAACUACGUGCCAGCAGCCGCGGUAAUACGUAGGGGGCAAGCGUUAUCCGGAUUUACUGGGUGUAAAGGGAGCGUAGACGGCGAAGCAAGUCUGAAGUGAAAACCCAGGGCUCAACCCUGGGACUGCUUUGGAAACUGUUUUGCUGGAGUGUCGGAGAGGUAAGUGGAAUUCCUAGUGUAGCGGUGAAAUGCGUAGAUAUUAGGAGGAACACCAGUGGCGAAGGCGGCUUACUGGACGAUAACUGACGUUGAGGCUCGAAAGCGUGGGGAGCAAACAGGAUUAGAUACCCUGGUAGUCCACGCCCUAAACGAUGAAUGCUAGGUGUUGGGGGGCAAAGCCCUUCGGUGCCGC
rnacentral:rRNA from 1 species